rnacentral:tRNA from 1 species
CGGGGCGUAGCUCAGCUGGCUUAGAGCACCUGCUUUAGGAGCAGGGGGUCGGAGGUUCAAAUCCUCUCGCCCCGA